rnacentral:lncRNA from 1 species
AAAGAAUUAAGGGGAGCAGCGGUGCUGCCCGAGGGGCCCACUCAGGCAGGGCAGCGGCAAGAGGAGCUCUCCCCUCCGGGAGCCUUGGGGGGUUGCAGAAUCUGCAUUCCACCAAGGAG